rnacentral:misc_RNA from 1 species
UAUACAACUCUCUACUGCUGGACCACCUGCUGGAUCUGCUGCUUGUUAUGCUGUAUUGUAGGCAGAUUCACAAGAGAGCACGUUCGUACCAUCUCUCCAGCUAGAGGAAUCACAGGCAGACUAUCACAAUUGCAUAUUUCAAUCAUGAAUCCAUCUGGGUCAUGGAAGAAGAGUUGAUCCACAUGGACUCCACCUUCCUCCACCAUGGCUCGCACGUACUUGAUUUCCAUGUCCUUCAGCUUCUUCUCCACUGCCCCCAUGCUUUCACACUG